rnacentral:rRNA from 1 species
UUCGCAAUGCCCGAAAGGGUGAACGAGCGACGCCGCGUGCGGGAUGAAGGCCUUCGGGUUGUAAACCGCUUUUCUUAAGGAAGAACUUAAUGACGGUACUUAAGGAAUAAGAGGUUACUAACUCUGUGCCAGCAGUAGCGGUAAUACAGAUGGAGCAAGCGUUGUUCGGAAUCACUGGGCAUAAAGCGCAUGUAGGCGGCCUUGAAAGUCGGGUGUGAAAUCCCCUGGCCCACCCAGGGAACUGCAUUCGAAACUUCAAGGCUUGAGUGAAGAAGGGGAGAGUGGAACUCCUGGUGGAGCGGUAAAAUGCGUAGAUAUCAGGAGGAGCGCCGGUGGAGAAGUCGACUCUCUGGUCUUUUACUGACGCUGAGAUGCGAAAGCUAGGGGAGCAAACGGGAUUAGAUACCCCGGUAGUCCUAGCCGUAAACGAUGGGCACUAAGUAGAGGGGUUUU